GAUGAACGCUAGCGGCAGGCUUAAUACAUGCAAGUUGAGGGGCAGCAUGAUAUACGCGAGUAUAUUGAUGGCGACCGGCGGACGGGUGAGUAAUAGGUAGGAGACCUACCUCAUACAGGGGGAUAGCAUAGAGAAAUCUGUGGUAAUACCCCAUGAGGUUAUAUGAAUAGAGGCAUAUAAUCAAAGCAUAAGUGAUUAUGCGGUAUGAGAGGGGCCUACUGACCAUUAGCUAGUUGGUGAGGUAAGGGCUCACCAAGGCGAAGAUGGUUAGGGGUUUUGAGAGAGACGACCCCCCACAUUGGAACUGAGAGACGGUCCAGACUCCUACGGGAGGCAGCAGUAGGGAAUAUUGGGCAAUGGGCGAAAGCCUGACCCAGCCAUGCCGCGUGAAGGAAGACGGCCUUAUGGGUUGUAAACUUCUUUACUACGCGAAUAGAGGUUAGUACGAGAUACUAAUAGGAAGGUAGUGUAGUAAAAGCACCGGCUAACUCCGUG
rnacentral:rRNA from 1 species